GACGAACGCUGGCGGCGUGCUUAACACAUGCAAGUCGAACGGAAAGGCCCUGCUUGCAGGGUACUCGAGUGGCGAACGGGUGAGUAACACGUGGGUGAUCUGCCCUGCACUUCGGGAUAAGCCUGGGAAACUGGGUCUAAUACCGGAUAGGAGCCAUUUUUAGUGUGAUGGUUGGAAAGUUUUUUCGGUGUAGGAUGAGCUCGCGGCCUAUCAGCUUGUUGAUGGGGUAAUGGCCUACCAAGGCGGCGACGGGUAGCCGGCCUGAGAGGGUGGACGGCCACAUUGGGACUGAGAUACGGCCCAGACUCCUACGGGAGGCAGCAGUGGGGAAUAUUGCACAAUGGGCGCAAGCCUGAUGCAGCGACGCCGCGUGGGGGAUGACGGCCUUCGGGUUGUAAACUCCUUUCGCUAGGGACGAAGCUUUUUGUGACGGUACCUAGAGAAGAAGCACCGGCUAACUACGUG
rnacentral:rRNA from 1 species